rnacentral:tRNA from 1 species
GUAGUCGUGGCCGAGUGGUUAAGGCGAUGGACUUGAAAUCCAUUGGGGUUUCCCCUCGCAGGUUCGAAUCCUGCCGACUACG